GAUGAACGCUAGCGGCAGGCUUAAUACAUGCAAGUCGAGGGGCAGCGGGAGUAGCAAUACUUGCCGGCGACCGGCGCACGGGUGCGUAACACGUAUGUAAUCUGCCCAUCACAGGAGGAUAGCCCGGAGAAAUUCGGAUUAAUACUCCAUAAUAGAAGAUAAAGCAUUUUAUUUUCUUGAAAGUUCCGACGGUGAUGGAUGAACAUGCGACUGAUUAGUUUGUUGGUGAGGUAACGGCUCACCAAGACUACGAUCAGUAGGGGUACUGAGAGGUUAAACCCCCACACUGGUACUGAGACACGGACCAGACUCCUACGGGAGGCAGCAGUAAGGAAUAUUGGACAAUGGCCGCAAGGCUGAUCCAGCCAUGCCGCGUGCAGGAUGAAGGCCCCUGGGUCGUAAAACUGCUUUUUAANAAGUGAAGAAUAUGAACGGUAACUUAUAGAAAUAAGGAUCGGACUAACUACGUGCCAGCAGCC
rnacentral:rRNA from 1 species